AGCAGCCGCGGUAAUUCCAGCUCCAAUAGCGUAUAUUAAAGUUGUUGCAGUUAAAAAGCUCGUAGUUGAAUUUCGGGAUCAGUACGCUGGUCGUGCCUUUGGUAUGUACUGGUGUCACUGAUUCCUCCCUUCUGAAGAACCGUUAUGCCAUUUAUUUGGUGUGGCGGGGAAUCAGGACUGUUACUUUGAAAAAUUAGAGUGUUUAAAGCAGGUUCGCGCUUGAAUACAUUAGCAUGGAAUAAUGAAAUAGGACGUUUGAUCUUAUUUUGUUGGUUUUCUAGGAUCGACGUAAUGAUUAAUAGGGAUAGUUGGGGCAUUAGUAUUCAAUUGUCAGAGGUGAAAUUCUUGGAUUUAUUGAAGACUAACUACUGCGAAAGCAUUUGCCAAGGAUGUUUUC
rnacentral:rRNA from 1 species